rnacentral:rRNA from 1 species
GAUGAACGCUGGCGGCGUGCCUAAUACAUGCAAGUCGAGCGAACAGACGAGGAGCUUGCUCCUCUGACGUUAGCGGCGGACAGGUGAGUAACAAGUGGAUAACCUACCUAUAAGACUGGGAUAAAUUCGGGAAACCGGAGCUAAUACAGACUAAUAUAUUGAACCGCAUGGUUCAAUAGUGAAAGACGGUUUUGCUGUCACUUAUAGAUGGAUCCGCUCCGCAUUAGCUAGUUGGUAAGGUAACGGCUUACCAAGGCAACGAUGCGUAGCCGACCUGAGAGGGUGAUCGGCCACACUGGAACUGAGACACGGUCCAGACUCCUACGGGAGGCAGCAGUAGGGAAUCUUCCGCAAUGGGCGAAAGCCUGACGGAGCAACGCCGCGUGAGUGAUGAAGGUCUUCGGAUCGUAAAACUCUGUUAUUAGGGAAGAACAAAUGUGUAAGUAACUAUGCACGUCUUGACGGUACCUAAUCAGAAAGCCACGGCUAACUACGUG